CCCCAAGAGAAGUGUCACCGCGCAAGCGU
rnacentral:sRNA from 1 species